rnacentral:rRNA from 1 species
GACGAACGCUGGCGGCGUGCUUAACACAUGCAAGUCGAACGGUAAGGCCCUUCGGGGUACACGAGUGGCGAACGGGUGAGUAACACGUGGGUGAUCUGCCCUGCACUUCGGGAUAAGCCUGGGAAACUGGGUCUAAUACCGGAUAGGACCCUGGGAUGCAUGUCCUGGGGUGGAAAGCUUUUGCGGUGUGGGAUGGGCCCGCGGCCUAUCAGCUUGUUGGUGGGGUGAUGGCCUACCAAGGCGACGACGGGUAGCCGGCCUGAGAGGGUGACCGGCCACACUGGGACUGGGAUACGGCCCAGACUCCUACGGGAGGCAGCAGUGGGGAAUAUUGCACAAUGGGCGCAAGCCUGAUGCAGCGGCGCCGCGUGAGGGAUGACGGCCUUCGGGUUGUAAACCGCUUUCAGCACCGACGAAGCGCAAGUGACGGUAGGUGCAGAAGAAGGACCGGCCAACUACGUGCCAGCCGCCGCGGUAA